UAGGGAAUCUUCCACAAUGGACGAAAGUCUGAUGGAGCAACGCCGCGUGAGUGAAGAAGGUUUUCGGAUCGUAAAGCUCUGUUGUUGGUGAAGAAGGAUAGAGGCAGUAACUGGUCUUUAUUUGACGGUAAUCAACCAGAAAGUCACGGCUAACUACGUGCCAGCAGCCGCGGUAAUACGUAGGUGGCAAGCGUUGUCCGGAUUUAUUGGGCGUAAAGCGAGCGCAGGCGGAAUGAUAAGUCUGAUGUGAAAACCCACGGCUCAACCGUGGAACUGCAUCGGAAACUGUCAUUCUUGAGUGCAGAAGAGGAGAGUGGAACUCCAUGUGUAGCGGUGGAAUGCGUAGAUAUAUGGAAGAACACCAGUGGCGAAGGCGGCUCUCUGGUCUGCAACUGACGCUGAGGCUCGAAAGCAUGGGUAGCGAACAGGAUUAGAUACCCUGGUAGUCCAUGCCGUAAACGAUGAGCGCUAGGUGUUGGGGACUUUCCGGUCCUCAGUGCCGCAGCAAACGCAUUAAGCGCUCCGCCUGGGGAGUACGACCGCAAGGUUGAAAC
rnacentral:rRNA from 1 species